rnacentral:tRNA from 1 species
GCCCUCGUAGCCCAACCUGGCAGAGGCCGCCGUCUCAGACGCGGCGAAGUGUGGGUUCGAAUCCCACCGAGGGUA